AUAAAGGUUGCCUUUUGUUAGAAAA
rnacentral:tRNA from 1 species